UACGAAGGGAGCUAGCGUUGUUCGGAAUCACUGGGCGUAAAGGGUGCGUAGGUGGCGUGGUAAGUUUGAUGUGAAAGCUCAGGGCUUAACCCUGAAAUGGCAUUGAAUACUACUGUGCUGGAGGUUUGGAGGGGGGACUGGAAUUCUUGGUGUAGCAGUGAAAUGCGUAGAUAUCAAGAGGAACACCAGUGGCGAAGGCGAGUCCCUGGACAACACCUGACACUGAGGCACGGAAGCUAGGGGAGCAAACAGG
rnacentral:rRNA from 1 species